GCACUCUGAUCCAGCCAUGCCGCGUGCAGGAAGACUGCCCUAUGGGUUGUAAACUGCUUUUAUAGAGGAAGAAACCUCCCUACGUGUAGGGAGCUGACGGUACUCUACGAAUAAGGAUCGGCUAACUCCGUGCCAGCAGCCGCGGUAAUACGGAGGAUCCAAGCGUUAUCCGGAAUCAUUGGGUUUAAAGGGUCCGUAGGCGGGCAGUUAAGUCAGUGGUGAAAGUCUUCCGCUCAACGGGAGAAUUGCCAUUGAUACUGAUUGUCUUGAGUCAUUAUGAAGUGGUUAGAAUGAGUAGUGUAGCGGUGAAAUGCAUAGAUAUUACUCAGAAUACCGAUUGCGAAGGCAGAUCACUAAUAAUGUACUGACGCUGAUGGACGAAAGCGUAGGUAGCGAACAGGAUUAGAUACCCUGGUAGUCUACGCCGUAAACGAUGGUUACUAGCUGUUUGGACGAUUGAGUCUGAGUGGCUAAGCGAAAGUGAUAAGUAACCCACCUGGGGAGUACGUUCGCAAGAAUGAAACUCAAAUG
rnacentral:rRNA from 1 species